AUGAGUCGUAUACGUAGUCCGUAUGUACGAUUCUGCGAGAGGGCUGAGACGGUGACGUCUCACCUACUCGAU
rnacentral:misc_RNA from 1 species